UAGGGAAUCUUCCGCAAUGGACGCAAGUCUGACGGAGCAACGCCGCGUGAGUGAAGAAGGAUUUCGGUUCGUAAAACUCUGUUGUUAGAGAAGAACAGCGCAUAGAGUAACUGUUAUGCGUGUGACGGUAUCUAACCAGAAAGCCACGGCUAACUACGUGCCAGCAGCCGCGGUAAUACGUAGGUGGCAAGCGUUGUCCGGAUUUAUUGGGCGUAAAGCGAGCGCAGGCGGUCAAUUAAGUCUGAUGUGAAAGCCCCCGGCUCAACCGGGGAGGGUCAUUGGAAACGGGUUGACUUGAGUGCAGAAGAGGAGAGUGGAAUUCCAUGUGUAGCGGUGAAAUUCGUAGAUAUAUGGAGGAACACCAGUGGCGAAGGCGACUCUCUGGUCUGUAACUGACGCUGAGGCUCGAAAGCGUGGGUAGCAAACAGG
rnacentral:rRNA from 1 species